AGGUAUGGGACGUGAUCACGUGAACAUCAUCCGGGCGGCGGUGAAGGACUACUACGACGGAGGCACGGGCGAAUUCGUGGACGCGCUGAACAAGAGCAUAAAGGGGGCUGAUCGAUAUACUGAUUGCAGGGGGCUUGGUCAGGCAAAGUGCACGGAUGGGAGGAUUACGGCAAGAACCAGACGGCGUGUCCUGACAUAUAUGGGUCGGAGAGCAUCACCGCAGCAUGCGACUCGGCGUACAAGGACGCGACGGAAGAUUCGAUGGUGGGCGCGGGAGCAGGCUGCCGGUGGUGAACCUGAGGCUGGCGCAAGGCGGCGUCCGAUUGGCGGCUACGCUCAACAGGAUAUUUGGUCAAUCCAAGGCUUAGUGAUUAUUAUGUCGCUUUUUAUAGACUGCAAGUGUUGUUGUUUUUUUUAACUUGGCACAUAUGAUGCUGGUCGAGUUGGUGCUGUUCAUUUUUCUAUCGAAAUAUCGAAAUAAUUAAAGUGGAUAGA